rnacentral:lncRNA from 1 species
UUGUCAAGGUAAUGAAACUACAGACUUAUGAGAGAUUCUGUGAACUACCCAGUUUCCUUUCACUGAAUGUCUUUUCUGACUGAAUAAAUCAGGAAAUCUUGCUGACUUAAAAUGAUUUAUCUUGGAAGCUGAACUCACAAUGGUGUUAUUCAAGAGAUAAUUCUGCAUGGAACACUCAGAAAAAAAGAAUUCAUAACUAAUGUACCCACAUGAACCACUUCUCAUAUGGAAAUUCUGACUAUCCCUCAAAUUCCCCCAAUCCUUUUUCUAAUGCUAGC